ensembl:snoRNA U3 Small nucleolar RNA U3
AAGACUAUACUUUCAAGGAUAAUUUCUCUAGUUUGCUACCAGAGAAGUUUCUCUGAUCUCACAGACUACUAGAAACAGGCACAAUGUUCUAUCCUUGGAGUGAAACUGCCACUUGGUAUUGCUUUACUGUAACUGGUAUUUGCCAUUGAUGAUCAAUCUUCACUUCCUUUGGGAGAGGAAGAGGAAGAGGUUACAGUCUGA